UGGGGGAAUAUUGCACAAUGGGGGGAAACCCUGAUGCAGCGACGCCGCGUGGAGGAAGAAGGUCUUCGGAUUGUAAACUCCUGUCGUUGGGGACGAUAAUGACGGUACCCAACAAGAAAGCCCCGGCUAACUACGUGCCAGCAGCCGCGGUAAUACGUAGGGGGCAAGCGUUAUCCGGAUUUACUGGGUGUAAAGGGAGCGCAGGCGGCGAAGCAAGCCAGAGGUGAAAACCCGGGGCUCAACCCCGAGGAUUGCCUUUGGAACUGUUUUGCUUGAGUGCUGGAGGGGCAGGCGGAAUUCCUGGUGUAGCGGUGAAAUGCGUAGAUAUCAGGAGGAACACCGGUGGCGAAGGCGGCCCGCUGGACAGUAACUGACGCUGAGGCUCGAAAGCGUGGGGAGCAAACAGGAUUAGAUACCCUGGUAGU
rnacentral:rRNA from 1 species